GGGUCAGUAGGUUGGUCGUGCCACCGGUACGUACUGGUCACGCUGAUUCCUCCUUCCUGAAGAACCGUAAUGCCAUUAAUUUGGUGUUGCGGGGAAACAGGACUGUUACUUUGAAAAAAUUAGAGUGUUUAAAGCAAGCUAACGCUUGAAUACAUUAGCAUGGAAUAAUGAAAUAGGACGAUCGAUCCUAUUUUGUUGGUUUCUAGGAUUGACGUA
rnacentral:rRNA from 1 species